rnacentral:rRNA from 1 species
AAUGGGCGAAAGCCUGAUCCAGCAAUGCCGCGUGAGUGAUGAAGGCCUUAGGGUUGUAAAGCUCUUUUAGCAGGGAAGAUAAUGACGGUACCUGCAGAAAAAGCCCCGGCUAACUCCGUGCCAGCAGCCGCGGUAAGACGGAGGGGGCUAGCGUUGUUCGGAAUUACUGGGCGUAAAGAGCGUGUAGGCGGUCUAUUAAGUUGGGAGUGAAAGCCCGAGGCUUAACCUCGGAACUGCUUCCAAAACUAUUAGACUUGAGUUCAGUAGGGGAUGAUGGAAUUCCUAGUGUAGAGGUAAAAUUCUUAGAUAUUAGGAGGAACACCGGUGGCGAAGGCGAUCAUCUGGGCCGCAACUGACGCUGAGACGCGAAAGCGUGGGGAGCAAACAGGAUU